rnacentral:lncRNA from 1 species
UUGCAUCAUCAAGCGCCUAAGGAGUGCUUAGAGGCAUGCAUCAUUCUAAGGAUUGUUAGCUGUAUGGAAAUGCAUAUCAUGUCUUGGUUGUUGAUUGGUAAAUGUAGGUUGUGGUUGAGAUCCUGUUGUAUCGUUGGUACGCCGUGCAAAUACAAAGGAGACUCCGUCCGAGUGGACAGAGAAACUUUGUAUUUGUGGUGGGUCUGUACAUCACGUGGGCCAGAUUGAAUUAAAAAAAAAUGGCACGAUUUUUGCAACUCUGGUUUCUAAAU